GCUGAUGUGAAUGAUGACUAAAUCUUUUUUCCCCAUCAGAUCGACACUGUUGAUUUUGCUAUUUUAGCCAGUUCGUGUCUGAUACAUCAGC
rnacentral:snoRNA from 1 species